rnacentral:lncRNA from 1 species
UCAGCAUAGCCAAAACAUCUCUAUCACUCUUUAAGGGUCUAACAUCUCCAUCAGUGAUUUUGAUACCAACAGAAUAUAUAUCAAUGAACUUCUUACAGAUGCUCAAGAUAUCCAAGAAUGAACUAUCUUCAUUGAAACCAUUUUCAUGGAAUUCACAAUCUUUAUAAUGCACAAUCAGAGAGUGUGAUGUGUUGUCUCCUUUCAAGAACAAAAAGGAAUAAAGUUAGGUCGACAAAAACACACUGCACAAUCAGCACUUUUAAGCUCAAAUAAUUUCAGAAAAAUCAUUCUCCAAAAUAUAAACACAUAAUUAUCUUACUGUUCAUUGAAUAAUUGAAUGUGGCCUCAGGUUCUUGCUCUGUUCUGCCUUGAGAAAUUGAUGGAGUUGUUAACUUGUUAUUUCCUAAAAGAGCAAACAAAUAUCAUAUUUACUUUCGGCAACUCAGAAACAUUAUUGAAGAAACUAAAGUACCCUUACCAGCAUAUUUUUUUCCAUGUUCAUGCUAUUUCUUUGACAAACGAGGUGUUGUAAAU